CCUUGAGUUGAUCAUUGAAAUGAAUGAAUGGAAGUAGUAUAUGCUUUUGCCUGAACCAAUUAGAAAUUUAGAAUUUGUAAGUAUUUUUUUUUUUUUUUGAGUGAAUGGGUAAAAAAAAAAUUAAAUGUUUUCGGUUACGUAUAUACCUUUAAAAUACACUAUUAAAUAGUGCAGGGAUUAAAGGUCCUUUUCAAAGUUCGAUAUUGUUACAACAAUUUCGAUCAAAGUUCAGAUAUAUUUAAGACAUUUUUUCCAAAUUCAAAUCAAGUAAACUUGUGUUAUAGACUAAUUAAACAGGAACAAAGUCCAACCCAGAAGACUAAUCUAAUAGGUGGAAAUUAAAGCGCAUUUCAGUCUAUAUACUCAUUAAUAUUUCUCUUUUUAUCAAUGUGACAAUUGACCCAUAACAAUUUAACCAACAUAAUUAAAUGUCUUUUCAUCGUAUUAAUAUGAAAAUAAUCGUAAUUAAUAGUAUUUCUUAUACAAUUUUUAAAUAUCUAAAAUUUUGAUUUUGAAAAUAUUAAACUAAUCUAUUUGAAUCUAACUUUAAAUACCAAUUAAAUUAACUCUUAAAUAAAUUUUCUUUUCAUAUUAUCAAAUUUUUGUUUCAAUAUCUCAAAGUUACAAUUAAUUCUAAUUUUUCAGCAAAAUCCUCUUAUGAACACUACAAAAAUACUUAAAUAUGCAUUACAAUGUUACACUUAAUAUUUAGAAAAGUUCAUUAUUUUCUUAUAUAUUCAUGACACUACUUAUAUAGACAGUUAAACCAAACUUUUUGAGGGUCUGAAAUAUUGGAAACUUGAAACAAUUAUUUUAAUGGUCUUAACCUGACUCAUCCAUACUUAUCACCAAACAAAAAGGUGACAAAGUUUGGUAGAAGAAAUCAAUUUCAACAAAAACUUUGUUAAAUGAAAGAGACAACAUUCCCAAUAUUGACAAUUUUAUGGACAAAUAACACUAGCUGAAUACGUGAUAAAAACAUUGUUAAAAUGAAAGAGACAACAUUACCAAAAUUGAAAAUUUUAUGAGCAUACAACACUAGCAUCAUACCCUAAUAUUGAUAGGAACUAGAAAUUAAAAAUGAAAGAUAACAUGGGAACUUGACAACUUGAGAGCAGUUGUGCGGUGAUCUGAAACUUGUUAUCGAACAUUCAGACGUUUUACUGAGGAUUUGGAGGACGACUAUUAGCUGCCGAGACUCUAGAACCCCAUUCAAGCAGUUCUUUGCUGGUGUCAUCCUUGUGAACAAUCACUUCAAUGAAACACAAACUAUCUUUCUUUGCUUCAGUUGCAGUUUCAAUUGCUUCCACAAGCUCCUCUUCGCAACGAACCUAGUACAAAAAUGCAUUAUUUUAGUUGAAUAACUCUUUUGACUCAACUAAUGGUGUAGGGAUAGAGAAAUUCCUCACCUUUGUUGUCCAACAUUUUCCUUGCCCGUUGUGGAUUGCAUCGACUAGUCCAGUGUAAUUCCAGUUCUUGAUCACAUUGUAAGGUCCGUCGUGAAUCUCAACUUCAAUUGUGUAACCACCAUUGUUUAUCAAGAAGAUGAUAGUCCUCUGACCACAUCUCAGCAUUGUUGAAAUAUCCUGAGCAGUCACCUACAACAAGUAUUUGCCAUACAGAAUGAUGAGAACGCGUUGGAAUGAAUAAACACAACGAACUCAUUGUGUUGAAUUCAGUUCAUAACACAAAUCAUUUUACCUGAAAACUACCAUCACCAAUGAAAGCAAUCACCCUCUUUUCUUUUGCUGCUUGUGCGUAACCAAGCGUUGCCCCAACAGACCAACCAAUAGAUCCAUACUGCAUUUGGAACUCGUACCUGAAAGAAAGCCAAAGGAUAUCAAAUGUCAUUAUGAUGAACACGGAAGCAAACGUCAUUUCACAUUGUUAUUCGGAGCUUACCCACAUCCCUUGGGCAGUUUAAGUUUCUGGCAAUUGAACCAUGAAUCCCCUGUCUCAGCAAUCACAACCGUGUCACCGGACAACAUCCUCUGAAUGUGCUCAAAGAGAACAUUAAUCCUCAAUGCCUCUUUAGGCUCACACUUAAGAGGAUGUCCCUCUGGAACAUAAAUCCUUCGAUAAUUCUUGUAAGCAGUCGGGUUGUGCUUUAGCCUCAAGCCCAAUGCAGCAAGGAAAUCCUUCAUUAGAAUACAACCAAAUGUAGGUCCAUUACCAACAGUCACACAAUCCGGCUGUACAUUGAUGGUUUUCUCUCUUUUAAGAAGCAGAGAAUACCCAACAGAGCUAUAGUCAUUAAAAAUAGGUCCAGCAAACAAGUAAGCAUCAGCUGAUUCCACAAUUUCAGCACAAAAGGCCGUACUCACUGCACCCCAAUAAGUUCCAAUGAAAUGAGGAUGGUGCUCCGGAACCAUCCCCUUAGCUGAUGGCAUCACUGCAACAGCAUAUCCACUUGCAUCCGCUAAUUUAACAAACGCAUCGCACGCCUUUGCAAAGCGCAUUUUUGGCCCUCCCACAAUGACUGGUUUCACAGCUUUGUUUAAAAACUCUGCAGCUGCCUCCACUGCUGCUUCCAAACCCAUCUUAUUACUCAAUCUAAUACCAAAAAAUAAACCAUACAAAGUAAAUACCUUGUUAACAUUAAUGGAAAAACAGAACCAACACCAAUGAAGAUGCUCAUAUGUCACAACUCAUAUAGUACCUUUUGUAACAUAUAAAUCAAAUCAAAUUACGCAUAAUACAUAGAUAUGCCCUUUAAAUUACUUUAAAAAUUGAACAAAUAAACACAUGUGACAUGUUUACUACGUGUAUUAUGACACAUAAACACCAUAGAGAACACAAAAGACCUAACCCAUCGGUGGCCCCUUAAAAUUGGCACGAAGUUUCACUUAGACACCUUAAUUUUUUUUUCUUCUUCUUCUUUCCAAUUUCAGCCUCCAUUCCUGCAAACAUAAAUAUCCAACAAUGGCGAAGAGAAAUAGUUACAGUAAAAUGAUGAAUCUGUGUUAGAAAAUUUAGGAAUAGACCCAUUUCAACAUUUAAAUAUUAAAUUAUUCAAGAGAUUCUUUUUUGAAAGAAAUUAAUUUUUACAUAGGAGUAAAUUUAUUUUUUUGUGAAGUCUUAACCUGCUAAUUAGGGUAAAAAAGAAACAAAAAGAUAUUUGAAGAAGAAAAUAAUAAAAAAGGAACAGUGUGUUGGUUGGUGUGAGCCCAAAUGUUAUUGGAAAAAAGGAAUAUCGGUAUUUGGAGAAGAAAAUCAGAGAAAAUGGGUGCCCAGAUGUUUCUGCAAAUGAAUAGAUAUUUGGAGAAGACAAUGGUGGGGUGGGGUGGGGAAUGGGGGACGGGGUAGAAGUGUUUGGAGAAGAUGUCGGGGUGAAAUCGGGGUGCUGGGGUCAUGGGGGAUUUAUUGGUUUAAAUUUUUAUUUUUUUUAAAUGAUUGGGCAAAAAUCCAUGUCAUUGAUUCAUUGGUUACUUUUUAUUUCUAUUCAAAAAUAAUUAUUUAAGAAUUGUUUGUGAUGCAAAUGACACAUAUCGUCGUUUAAUUUAUCACUUUACACGUCAUUCGCGAGUGUAACACACACCUUAUAUAUUUUUGUUGAUUGGUAAAAAAGUGUCAAAAUGACACAUCAAGACUUUACAUGAGGUGUCUAAAAUGAACAUCUUAACUGUCUAGUUAAGGUGUCUAAGUGAAACUUUGUGCCAAUUUUAAGGGGCCACCGAUGGUUAGGCCAACACAAUGACAAAUAUGACUAUGCUAAGUUGUUUAUGUAUUAUGUCAUUAAGUUAACAUCUUAACCUUUCUGCGGAAUCAAAUAUUGUCAUACAAAAAAGAAAACAGACCAUAUUAUAAGCGAUUAAAGCGAAAAAAUCUCAAAAUUACAUACCUUGGAGCGAUGAAAAAUGGAACAGGUUCACGGUUAAAAGUAGGAUGUGGAAUCCCCGGCAAGUUACAGCUUAUACUUAUAUAAACCGGCUUACUCUCUUUCAACGAGGUAGCAAUCGCAGUAUCAAUCAUUUCAUGUGCAUCCUCUAAGUUAUUCACCACAGCCUGAAAACAUGAAAAAGGAAUUACUAUCAAUACAAAACAUGUAUAGUAUCAAAUAUGUUCAAUCCAGACCGAAUUCAUUCAAUACUAAAAUCUACCUGAUAGCAAGUGACAGUUUGAAAGCAACGUUGUUCUUGAGUAAAAUCAGGCAACCCAAUAGUAUGAUGAAGGAUUCUGUUAGUUCCAUAAUCAUUUGAAUUAGGGCCACCGACAAUACAAAUCAAUGGAAGAUUCUCACUGUAAGCACCAGCAAUAGCAUUAAGAACACUAAGUCCACCAACAGUGAAAGUCACAACACAAGCCCCAACACCAUGGGCUCUAGCAUAUCCAUCAGCAGCAUAUCCAGCAUUAAGCUCAUUACAACACCCAAUAAAAUUAAGCCCAGGUUCAUCAAUUAAGUGAUCCAGUAAUGUCAGGUUGAAAUCACCAGGAACACCGAAAACAUCGGUGACCCCGACUUGGACUAAACGGCGUGCUAAGUGACGACCCAGUGUGGAUUCCGGCGAGUUGAACGGAACGGCUGGAUUGUGAAUGGUUACGGCGUUAACCGUCGGUAAACAGCCCACGUCGGUGUGCUGUGGCUUACACGUGUCAAUUGCUCCGUUCUUCACGUCCAUGAUGAAUUUGAGUGUUUUUUUUUUCCAGAAAAAUGUAAAUGAUUAUAUUAUGAGUAGUAAGUACUACUUUUGAGUAAUUUUUUUGGUUUCAUAAGAAGGAAAAAAUGUUAAGUAGAAAAACAGGUGGAGGUGGUUUAAGAGAAGAAACAGUGGGGUAUAUAUAGUUGUAUACACUUGUGCCCAAAGUGAUGCAUGGAUAUCUUCUUGCCAUGCCAUGCCAUGCCAUGUAUACACUUUGGGCACCAAGUAUAUCACCCAUGUUAUUGUUCCUCUUUACUUGUCUAUUAUACAAAAAAAAUAAAUAUAAAAUAAUAUAUAUAUAUAUAUAUAUAUAUAUUAUUUUAUAUUUAUUUUUUUUGUAUAAUAGACAAGUAAAGAGGAACAAUAACAAAUCAUGUGCAAAAUUUCACAUAGUUAAAUCUGAAAAUGAUAAAGUGUACAUAAACUAUAUCUCAAUAUUAUAAAGAUAGAGAAAUUAUUUUUGAAAGAUAUUCGACUUAAAUAACACACGACAAAAUAAUUUGAAUAAUUCAAAUUAUUUUAAACUACCAAAGCUAGUGGGGCCAUUUUUAAAAAAAAAAUAUUAGCUAUUAAUCCAAUUUAAGAAUUUGCACAUGUUUUUCGUGUUAGGAUAAUUCCGUAGAUAUUCGAUUGUGUGGUCUGUAACAAAUAUAUUUUUGGAACGACAUAAACGAUUAUUAUUUGUUUAACCAAUUUUUAUUUUUAUUUUAGAUUUUAAUUUUUUUAGAUAAUUUAUAAUUAUAAUUUAUAACGGGUUGCUCAGUAAAGUGUAUAAGAACAAUGUUAAAUAGAAUAUUAAUAUUAUUCGAAUUGUUUAGUAAUAUUGAUAUUAGUUAUGCUAACAUUAAUUAUGUUGAAAUUCUUUGGCUUAAGUCAUCGAUAGCCACUUAAAGUUAUCCGCAAAUUUCACUUAGACACCUCAUCUUAGGCUUGUUCCAAUUGAACACCUGCGCUAAUAAAAAAAUCUACCUAUCGAACACUUUAUAGACAAUCAGCUGAAAUAAGAGAGUGUGUGUUAUACACUCGCGAAUGACGUGGCAUAGUAACUAAUCAAACGAAGACACGUGGUAUUGGGCCUAGAAUAACUAAUAAAAAAUAAAUUAUAAAGAAAAAUUAUAUUUUUUAGAAAGAAAAAAAAAAAGAAAACCAUCCUUGCCUUUUUCCUCUUUCGUCAGAACCUUCCCCCAAAACACCAUACGCUGCCAUUCUUUAAUCUUACUCUUAUCCUCAAACAUCAAUUUAGAUUUAUUGAUAUUCUUUCUUCUUCUUGUGUUGUGAGUUUUUUAGAGUUUGAAUACAUCAACAAUUUCAAAGAAUAAUUUAAAAUUCAUAUUAUUCUUGCUGGAAAAAAUGGAGUUUCGCCGGAAAUAAUGAACACUAAAGUAAGAAGACGAUCGAUCAUUGAUUGCUCGUUAUUUUAAUUUUUUUUGUGUCUUUAUGUAAUGACAUUUGCUUAACAUCCCAUGUCAACGGAAAGGAAUCUCCACUUCAUCUUCUUCCCUUUUUUUGUAUUUCUUUUGUUUUAAGAUUUAUAUCUAAUUUAUGUUUGGGUUUGAUUUGACAAAAUAGAUGAACAAGGGAUAAAUACGUUUGGUGGCAGCAGCGAUGACAUUUUUUCCGACGAAAAACUUAAGGUGGCAGAUUUGAAUGUGUGGUUUGGUUGUUUGAAAGGCUAAGGCCGUUUGACGAUGGUAGACUUGUGGAUGGUAACAACCGAUUUGGUGGAAAAAAUAAUUGUGAGUGGUGAUGGCUACAAAUUGCAAUGGAAAAAUGGUGAUAGGAGCUUUCUGUCAAAGAAGAAGAUAUAAAAUCUUUUCUUUUUUUGCUAACAAAUUAUCCUUUUCACGCUCCUCUCUGUGUGUAUUACACACACUUUGCCAUGUCAGCAAAAAGGGUUUAAUAGGUACAAAUUUCUUACUGUGUAGGUGUUCAAUAGGUAGAAGUUUUAGUUGAGGUGUUCAAGGGAAAUACGAGGACAACUUUAAGUGGCUAUCAAUGACUUAAACCAAAUUCUUUUGUAUGCAUCCUUUGGUUUGGUGUACUAAAAAUGGCAUGCAUUGUAUAAUUUUUUUUUAAAAAAAACAUUAUUUUCUAGGGAUCAAUGAAAUUCUCAUGAUUAAGCGAGUUUCAAUUACUCUCUCUGUCUCAUUUAGUUGAUUGUUUUCCUUUUUUACAUGCAUAUUAAAAAUCAUAAAUGAGAAGAUAAUUUUACUGAUUCACUCCUUAAAA
rnacentral:lncRNA from 1 species